rnacentral:lncRNA from 1 species
UUUUUUUUUUUUUUUUUUUUUUUUUUUUGGGUCUGAAUUGUUUGAGUGCUUUCAGCCUAGUGUCAUUAAGCAACCAACUUCUUCUGUGGGAUGGUGAUUCACGACCCAAUAACCCAUUUUCAGUGGUUCGGCUGAUGCAGCAAGAAAGAAAAUGAUGAAACCAGAAAAGAAAAAAAAAAACCUGGCCGCUGGCUGAUAAUGGGUUCCUAUAAUAACAUGUGAAAAGUUUACAGAGACUGCACAAGUGGGGUGUACGAAUGUUUGGCUUUAUGUGCCAAUUGCCAGAGUGUUUGGUUUUGUAACGAGGAAAGUUUGCAAAUUCAUACACGUUUGUUUGUCUGUUUGUUAGGCAGAAGAAGGUGACAUCACAUUCAUUUGUUGUUGCCUUUGCAUUAUGCAUAAACAGUCAAUCAAUCAGUCAUGUUGCUUAUAAUAUAAUCAUAUCAUCCGGAUCAGAAAACGUCACAGAUUUAUUUUCAAUGUUUUGUUGUUUGUGAAUCAUAUGUGAUCAUAUCGGAGUACCAUGUAGGAAUGAUACUAAUGAUAUGUUUAGUUACUUGAAUAAAUAAAUAAAAGCACGCAAAAAGUUUGUAGAGCAUUUACUCAUGCACUCGAGAUCUUAAGUUCGAUUCCCUUCUUCAUAUCAUUUGUAUCAAAAGAAAAACAUACAUUAAUAUGUUAGUAAACAAAGGAAUUAGAAUAAGUUCGACACAUAUUUCAGGUAAAUAAACAUAUCAUAAAACAAACAAAUUCCAGUUCAAGUAAUUUAACAGUGAUGUUGCAGCUCCUUACAGCUGUUAUAAAUUGAUGCAGAGUUUUUGUAGUUUUUUUUUUUAAAAAUCUUGUGUGGAGUUUUUGCAGGGUUUUUAUUGUUUUCUAUUAGUCAUUUAGUAAGGUUUUUUCUUUUUGGGACUGAGGUGGUUCAUAAAGUGAACGGUCAAUGGACAUCAAGUUGUAAAAUAUGAUUUGUAGAACUUUGUAGAACUAACUGUACUGCUCUUAGAGACAAUUACAAUAUCAAAUAUACGACCUGAAAGGCUGUGCUCAAUGGGGCAGGCUUGGAUUGGAUGAAUAACUUGGCCUAAAUAUGAAAAAAAACUUUCUUGUAACAAGGAUAGGCAUUAUUAAUUUUCGGACCUAGUGGUCAUUAAAUUAGUGGGAAAAAAAAAUUUUAUUCUUUCUCCUUGAGUGUCUAAAACUUUUAUUCUUUUUUCUUUUUUGUUGUGGCUGGUGAGGGUGGGGGUCGUUUUGCUGGGAAGAGGGUGAAGUUGGUGUUGUUUUGCCCAUUAUAAAGAACUUGAAAAUACUAUUUUUCUCAGAAAAUGUAACAACAUGAGCAACGCUACUGAUAAAAGUGAAGUUGCGGGACUACAUCAACUAUUUUGCAAAUACAAUGAUCAAAAUGUGAAUCAGUUACAAAUUAAGGACUAUUGCUCCUAAAAACCCUAAUAGACAAAUAAUGUGUGCCUUCCCAAUCACGAACAUUUCCUCCGGCCAAUGAUUUUCUACUUAUCUUAAAAAUUCUUUGAAGAAAUGCAUAAGUCACGGUAUGAGGCCCAAAAUUCAUAGCCCACAAUGUGCUAGAGGCCUAUUGACCCCACAACUUGCAAGUCGGGUCAUAGGCCAUACAUUUUGUUCCAAGGCUAACCCAAUUCGACUUAUCGAUCGAAACCAAGCAUAUGUUACCACACUAGUUAAUAAGAAAAUGAACCCAUUUUAGUAACUCAAUUUUCUUUAGUCUUUGAUGGUAUUGAGCUUGACAUGAGAAAUUAUUGUAUGGUACUGAAAUAUACAGCUGCUUAAUUCUUGCGGGAUGAGAAUGGAUGUUUGGUCGCAUACUCGUAAAUGUAUGGAAUACUCUCCAACUUAGCCAGCCCAUAAUUAGAGUUGGGCUUGGAUUGAUGGUUUGAGUUGGGGCAAGACUUAUUAGCCGAAUUGCACCCAGUCAGGAGACUCAGAGUCAGGUGAUAGAAUAUUAACCAGUCCUGGUAGGAGGAGCGCAGCGAAUCCCAAGUCCCGACCCAAUGGCGUUGCGGAGCCUGACGCUGCCUCUGCCUUUCCCCGCCGUAAUUCCACCAUUACCACCACCUUCUUCUUCUUCUUCGUCGUCGUCAUCUUCUUCUUGUUUGUGUAGUUUUAGACCAUACCAGUAUAAACCCAAUCCCGGUUGCUCUAUCGCUCUCCGCGCAAAACCCAUCAGCUUUCUCAACCGUCGGAGGCAAAGCCAUGUCGUUCGGAUGGCUCCCGAGGAAGAAAAGUUGACCCGUCGCUCCCCUCUCGAUUUUCCCAUUGUAAGUUUUUCUCAGACAUCUAUAUCUCUCUCUGGGUAAUUUUGUCAAACACGUUCUGUGCUUUGUAUGCUUCUAUAAUUUGUUCUAUUGUCUCAGUAUUUGCUUAUAAUGCUCGGAAUUUUGCAUUUUGAAAUCAUUUCACACAAUCUUGUUGGGCUCAGCAGCACGAGGGUUCCUGUUUAUUUGGUAGUUGCUUAAGAAGCUUGCUUGAAUUGGAUGUCGUAAUUAUCAGCAUUAGUAUAUGACUCAAAACAUAAUAUUUCUUUGUUUUUUUCUUUUUCUCUUUUGAUAAAAACAUAAUAUUUCUAAGUUCAUGAUACACAAGGUUUCAAGUUGAAUUAAUGGUGUGGUGUCUUAGGCCAAGGCUUUGAGAGGUUUGUUGCUUCCUCAAUACUCAAGUUAAUGAGAAAUCAACAUUCAAAUGGUUUUAGAGAAAAGUUGUUUAAUUAAGCAAACACUUGUGUACUGGGGUUUAGAAUACAAGGUCCAAAGCUGCAUCUAACCUGAGUUUAUAAUUGACCUGGCACUUGGACUGUGCCGUAGAUUUUAGAUCUUGAUUCUUAACUAGGUCCACUCAGUAAGUUUUGCUUAUCUUGUGUGCAUUGCAGGAAUGGGAACGACCUAAGCCCGGGAGGAGACCGGAUAUAUUUCCCCAGUUUAGCCCAAUGAAAACACCAUUACCGCCUCCACUGCCAGCGGAUCCUCCAGAAGAAGAUGAAGAAGAGGAAGAAAAGAAAGAGGAGGAGGAAGAAGAAGGAGAAGAAGAUCCUGACAAGGAGAACCCAGAAGACCCAGGACAGCAGUAGUUAUGCAACGAACCGGAGGAGUUUGUGGAGCAUAUUUCACUGAUGUGCUGCUGCUUUGUGCAUUUGAAGCUUCCCAAGUUAGGCUGAUAUAUGUGGAUGUGAUACUAUUUGAUAGAACGAAAGAUGGAUAUAUAGAGUUGAAGCUGUUGAAACAACUUUCUUAGAAUAAUACUAAAAUGUGCUUGUUGCCUGAUUACUUAGAUAUAAUGCUGUUUUGAUAAGCAAAUCGAAAUAAUGCUGUUUUGUGCUUUUGCUUUUCUUAAAUAAGAGGGCUAUAGCCGUUCAAUGAGAAGUUGCUGCUUAAAAGUGAUUUAUGGCUUGUUUGGGAGUGAUUCUAGAUAGGCUAAUAAUCACUUUCAUAAGAAUCAUUUUAAAGUGAUUUUAUGAAGAAGCUUAUUCUAAUAAUCGCUUAAAAUCACAAUUAUGGAAAAGCACGAGAGGUGCUUCUUCCCCAUAAAUGAUUUUGGCCCAAAAUUACUUCCAAAACGAUGUGCUUCCACUUUAGUUUUAAACAUUAAUUAGAGCACUUCCACCCUUAACCUUUUGCCAUGGCAAAAGGGGGCCUAAGCUCCAAACAUAACUUGCACACAUUACGUUUUGCCAUGACAAAAAGUGGGCCUUAUGAAACUGGGCAAAUUCAAAGGCAAGACUUGCCUGGCUGUUGCCUGGGCAAGCUAACGUCAUGCCAAUGUCAACGACCACUUUAAACACCAAAAAAAUGGAAAAAAAAGAAGGAAAAAAUUCAGAAUUUUUUCCCUAUAAAUACCCAGCCAUCACUCCCUAUACCAAAAUUCAUACAAAUUCAUCUCCUCAUAUCUCAUGUGAAUAGUGAUUACCCUUGGAUUGCCAUGACAAUGGAUGAGAAUGCAUCAAAAAUUGCUAGGACAAUCACUAUUCAUGUGAAUAAUAUCUGCCCUUACUUCUCCUUGUCCUUUGUCAUUUCACAAUGGGUGGAAGUGCUCUACACAGGAUGGAUCUGGCUUAUUUGCUUAAGGGAGAUGUAAAGACCACUCUAAAAUUUGGAGCGAGAGGAUAUUUAUUUAUUUAUAAAAUAAAAAAUACCAACCUCUCUCGCCUGACACAUGAGACAACAAAUUCAGAGCAAAGAAAGAUAAUGCUGCAAAGAAAGCUUAAGAAAGAAAACGCCGGAAGGCUCAAGAUAGGCAAACUCCAACUAACUUAUUUAGACAUAGUCAUACUGUUACACACUGAAAGUCACUCAUGCGUCUAGCAGCACAUUAGAAACUAGACCAUCACAUAAAUUGAAAGACUUCAACACAAUAGUGUUUAUAAUUACAGCCCAAGAAAAAUAUAUU